rnacentral:rRNA from 1 species
UCCUACGGGGGGCAGCAGUGAGGAAUAUUGGUCAAUGGGCGCAAGCCUGAACCAGCCAAGUCGCGUGAGGGAAGACGGCCCUACGGGUUGUAAACCUCUUUUGCCGGGGAGCAAGCCUGAGCACGUGUGCCCAGGCGGAGAGUACCCGGAGAAAAAGCAUCGGCUAACUCCGUGCCAGCAGCCGCGGUAAUACGGAGGAUGCGAGCGUUAUCCGGAUUUAUUGGGUUUAAAGGGUGCGCAGGCGGAUUUUUAAGUCAGCGGUCAAAUCGUGGGGCUCAACCCCAUCCAGCCGUUGAAACUGGGGA